rnacentral:rRNA from 1 species
UACAGAGGUCUCGAGCGUUAGGCGGAAUCACUGGGCUUAAAGCGUGUGUAGGCGGAUGCCUAAGUACCUUGUGAAAUCCCACGGCUCAACCGUGGAACUGCUUGGUAUACUGGGUGUCUUGAGCUAUCUAGGGGCAACUGGAACAAACGGUGGAGCGGUGAAAUGCGUAGAUAUCGUUUGGAACGCCAAUGGUGAAAACAGGUUGCUGGGGAUAUGCUGACGCUGAGACACGAAAGCCAGGGGAGCAAACGGG